rnacentral:rRNA from 1 species
UACGUAGGGGGCAAGCGUUGUCCGGAUUUAUUGGGCGUAAAGCGCUCGCAGGUGGUUCGUUGCGUCGUGCGUGAAAGCCCCCGGCUCAACUGGGGAGGGUCACUCGAUACUGAUCGACUCGAAGGCAGGAGAGGGUAGUGGAAUUCCCGGUGUAGUGGUGAAAUGCGUAGAUAUCUGGAGGAACACCGGUGGCGAAGGCGGCAUCCUGGACCAACACUGACGCUGAGGAGCGAAAGCCAGGGGAGCAAACGGG